AACCACAACUAUGCACCAAUCCUCCUGGGUUCAGAGAUGGAACUUGGGUUAAAUGCAUGGAAUUUAUUCUUAGUCCUUUUCUUAAUUACGACUUUAUUUUUAUUUCUCUGGCGUUCUCUAGGGGAGGGGUUAGAGAAGAGAGGAAAAGGAAGAAAGAAAGGGGGAAGGGAAAUAUAGAUUCAAUGCUUUUGUUUUGUUUCUCGGCUGCUUGCUAUCAGCAAAGUAGAGAGAUUUAACUGAUCUUGCCGAGAUGCAAGCCUCAUUCCAAGGAAGCCAGAGCUCAGAAGACAUGGAACAAAUACAAUGAAAACAUAACUUGAGUUAGCACAUUUGUACCAUGAAGAUACUGAGGCUGCCAUCAUGCCCUGUUAUUCUAAGAGAAAGAUCAACAGCAACAACAACAAUAAUAAUUUAAAAAGCAGAGGAAGAAAGUAAUCCAAGAAGACACACGCAGAGCCUCUAAGAUCAUGAAGGAUGAUUAAAAGAACAAGUUGGGGAUGAAAAUGGGGAAUCAGAAAGCUUAUCAUCAGUGUCAUUGCUAGAUUUCAGACUGUCACCAUUUCUCACCUGAACCAUUGCAACAGCCAAGAGCUGACCUCUGUAUCUCCAGCCUUGUGGACUUAGAUCUGUUCUGUACACUACAGAUAGAGGAAUCCACAGCAAACAAAUCCUAUCUCUCCUCAGCUCAAAACCUUUCAGGGACACCAUGUUGUCCACAAGAAAAACACCAAGCUCUUCAAUGUAGCAGUGAUUGGUUCAGAGUUAGGCAUAUGAGUCAAUGUCUACCAGUCAGAAACUGGAUUAAGGCUUUUAUAGAAUCUGUUUAGGAAAGAAAAGUGCUCUCUUCUCUUUGGAAUGGAAACUCUGGGCCUUUAGCUCUGGAGCCGAUGUCAACCAUAUUGCUACCAUGUGGAUCUUGGGAAUGAAGCCAACAUGGAAGAGAACAGAUUUGCGCAAUGGAAAACAAACAAACAGAUUUUUUUACAUAUUUUGAGUCCUGGAUUAACCUGAGCCUAAAGAAGAAAUUGCCUAUGGAGGUUUCAAUUGCCUAAACAUGUAAUUUCUACAAUUUGGUUUAAGACUAUUUGAGACUGGGUUUUUGCCUUAUUCAAUAAAAAAAGCUCUAUCUGAAACAUGGUACAACUUGGGGCCAGAGUAAAAAUACAUUGAUCCAAUCACAUAAUUAGUAAGCUGCAAGUAUGACAUAAAUGAUACCAGGUUUUAUGAUGCUGAGACAAAAGGACUCAAUAUUGCUUUAUUGCUAGGCUGAGUACCUCCCUGGGAAUCACACAAUAUUAAUUUCCCAAGAAGAGAAUACAAUGAUGACAAUAGCAGCAGCAACAAUAACAACUGUAUUUCAAUGAGUGUUUAUUUUGUGCCAAGUUCUUUAUUAUGAAAUUUAUAUAUAGCAUUUUAUAUUUUCAUAUAAACCUUAUGAAUUUUGUAUAUUAGUAAUCUCUAUUUUAAAGAUGACAAAAGUGAAGCUCAGCAAUGUUUACUAAGGUGAAUAAGGUCAUAUAACUAGUAAAUGGGGGAGCCAGGAUUUAAUCCGUAUCUGUCUGGCUCCAAAGUUUAUUCUCUUAACUAUCAUGUUAAUUGUUGCUAGGAUAAAACAAUAACAAAACAAACCUAGGAAACAAAUGCUUCUUUAUUACUUCAAAUUUAUUGAAAGUAUAUGCCAUAAGAAAUCUUUUUUUAUUCUUACAUAUCCACAAAUACUGGUGUGUGUUUCUUAGCCAAUCAGCAAUCAGAUGCUUGAAGAAAUCUUUAAUCCCUAACAUUGGAAUAUGAAAACUGCACAUCUCUUAUCCUUACUUCGUUUUACAAAGUAUACAGGAAGUAUAUUUGGAAGUAUAUAUUUGUAACUUGAUAUAUAUAAAAGAAAAGACUAAGUAGCAGUUGAGAUGCUUGCAUUUAAGAUCUAAUUCUGCUCCCAAUUCCCUGUGUGAUCUUGGGCAAAUCGCUUCCUCCCUCUUGGCCUCAGUUUUGUGAUCUAUAAAAUGAAGGAAUUUACAUUAAAGUUUAAGAAGUUCUUGUGUGUAGAAA